AUUGAACGCUGGCGGCAGGCCUAACACAUGCAAGUCGAGCGGAGCGGCGGACGGGUGAGUAAUGCCUAUGAAUCUGCCUGGUAGUUGGGGAUAACUUCCGGAAACGGGCGCUAAUACCGCAUACUAUCAGAUGAGCCUAGGUCGGAUUAGCUAGUUGGUGGGGUAAAGGCCUACCAAGGCGACGAUCCGUAACUGGCCUGAGAGGAUGAUCAGUCACACGGGAACUGAGACACGGUCCAGACUCCUACGGGAGGCAGCAGUGGGGAAUAUUGGACAAUGGGCGAAAGCCUGAUCCAGCCAUGCCGCGGGUGUGAAGAAGGUCUUAGGAUUGUAAAGCACUUUAAGUUGGGAGGCGUUACCAACAGAAUAAGCACCGGCUAACUUCGUGCCAGCAGCCGCGGUAAUUC
rnacentral:rRNA from 1 species